rnacentral:tRNA from 1 species
GAUCCCUUAGUUCAAUGGAUAUAACACCUCCCUCCUAAGGAGUAGUUGCUGGUUCGAUUCCGGCAGGGAUCA